UGGGGAAUUUUGCACAAUGGGGGAAACCCUGAUGCAGCGACGCCGCGUGAUUUAGAAGGCCUUCGGGUUGUAAAAAUCUUUUCUAUGGGAAGAAAAUGACAGUACCAUAGGAAUAAGGACCGGCUAAUUACGUGCCAGCAGCCGCGGUAAUACGUAAGGUCCGAGCGUUGUCCGGAAUCAUUUGGCGUAAAGGGUACGUAGGCGGGUAAGCAAGUUAGAAGUGAAAUCCUAUAGCUCAACUAUAGUAAGCUUUUAAAACUGCUCAUCUUGAGGUAUGGAAGGGAAAGUGGAAUUCCUAGUGUAGCGGUGAAAUGCGCAGAUAUUAGGAGGAAUACCGGUGGCGAAGGCGACUUUCUGGCCAUAACCUGACGCUGAGGUACGAAAGCGUGGGUAGCAAGCAGG
rnacentral:rRNA from 1 species